AUCUAGCUGACGAGUCCUAAAUAGAACGAAACAUGUAUCUUGGGU
rnacentral:hammerhead_ribozyme from 1 species